rnacentral:rRNA from 1 species
AUCUGGCUCUUUCAGAGUCGAGUUGUAUUUGAAGAAGGUAUCUUUGGGUCUGGCUCUUGUCUAUGUUUCUUGGAACAGAACGUCACAGAGGGUGAGAAUCCCGUGCGAUGAGAUGAUCCAGGCCUAUGUAAAGUUCCUUCGAAGAGUCGAGUUGUUUGGGAAUGCAGCUCUAAGUGGGUGGUAAAUUCCAUCUAAAGCUAAAUAUUGGCGAGAGACCGAUAGCGAACAAGUACAGUGAUGGAAAGAUGAAAAGAACUUUGAAAAGAGAGUGAAAAAGUACGUGAAAUUGUUGAAAGGGAAGGGCUUGAGAUCAGACUUGGUAUUUUGUAUGUUACUUCUUCGGGGGUGGCCUCUACAGUUUAUCGGGCCAGCAUCAGUUUGGGCGGUAGGAGAAUUGCGUUGGAAUGUGGCACGGCUUCGGUUGUGUGUUAUAGCCUUCGUCGAUACUGCCAGCCUAGACUGAGGACUGCGGUUUAUACCUAGGAUGUUGGCAUAAUGAUCUUAAGUCGCCCGUCUU